CCUACGGGAGGCAGCAGUAGGGAAUAUUGCGCAAUGGGGGAAACCCUGAAGCAGCAACGCCGCGUGGGGGAUGAAGGUUUUCGGAUUGUAAACCUCUGUUGUUAGAGAAGAAAAUGACGGUAUCUAACGAAUAAGCACCGGCUAACACCGUGCCAGCAGCCGCGGGAAUACGGAGGGUGCAAGCGUUACUCGGAACGACUGGGCGUAAAGAGCGCGUAGGCGGGAUAGCAAGUCAGAGGUGAAAUCCUAUGGCUUAACCAUAGAACUGCAGUUGAAACUGUUAUUCUAGAGUAUGGGAGAGGUAGGUGGAAUUCUUGGUGUAGGGGUGAAAUCCGUAGAGAUCAAGAGGAAUACUCAUGGCGAAGGCGACCUGCUAGAACAUAACUGACGCUGAUGCGCGAAAGCGUGGGGAGCAAACAGGAUUAGAUACCCCUGUAGUC
rnacentral:rRNA from 1 species